rnacentral:rRNA from 1 species
GACGAACGCUGGCGGCGUGCCUAAUACAUGCAAGUAGAACGCUGAAGGAGGAGCUUGCUUCUCCGGAUGAGUUGCGAACGGGUGAGUAACGCGUAGGUAACCUGCCUGGUAGCGGGGGAUAACUAUUGGAAACGAUAGCUAAUACCGCAUAACAGUAGAUGUUGCAUGACAUUUGCUUAAAAGGUGCAAUUGCAUCACUACCAGAUGGACCUGCGUUGUAUUAGCUAGUUGGUGAGGUAACGGCUCACCAAGGCGACGAUACAUAGCCGACCUGAGAGGGUGAUCGGCCACACUGGGACUGAGACACGGCCCAGACUCCUACGGGAGGCAGCAGUAGGGAAUCUUCGGCAAUGGACGGAAGUCUGACCGAGCAACGCCGCGUGAGUGAAGAAGGUUUUCGGAUCGUAAAGCUCGGUUGUAAGAGAAGAACGAGUGUGAGAGUGGAAAGUUCACACUGUGACGGUAUCUUACCAGAAAGGGACGGCUAACUACGUG